rnacentral:rRNA from 1 species
AUUGAACGCUGGCGGCAGGCUUAACACAUGCAAGUCGAGCGAGCGGCGGACGGGUGAGUAAUGUCUGGGAAACUGCCUGAUGGAGGGGGACAACUACCGGAAACGGUAGCUAAUACCGUACACCAUCAGAUGUGCCCAGAUGGGAUUAGCUAGUGGGUGGGGUAAUGGCGCACCUCGGCGACGAUCCCUACCUGGUCUGAGAGGAGGACCAGCCACACUGGAACUGAGACACGGUCCAGACUCCUACGGGAGGCAGCAGUGGGGAAUAUUGGACAAUGGGCGCAAGCCUGAUGCAGCCAUGCCGCGUGUGUGAAGAAGGCCUUCGGGUUGUAAAGCACUUUAAGCGAGGAGGCGUUACUCGCAGAAGAAGCACCGGCUAACUCCGUGCCAGCCGCCGCGGUAAUAC